rnacentral:rRNA from 1 species
AUGGGGCUCAAGGGGAACAAGCGCUUCGGCGGCGGCGGCGGCCAGCCGCCGGCCAAGCGCCAGGCGGCCGGGAAGGACGGCCCCUCCGAGGAAACCGACGACGGCAUCGUCGUUGCCCAGAUAUCGAAGAAUAAGAGGGUGGCUGUGAGGAGCUGGAACGGCAAGGUGAUGGUCGACAUGCGCGAGUUCUACGAAAAGGACGGCAAGAGCCUCCCGACCCGCAAAGGUAUAUCGCUCUCAAUGGAUCAGUGGAAAAUACUGAGGGACAACAUCGAAGCUAUAGACGAGGCCAUCAAGGAGAACACUUAA